UGGGGAAUAUUGCACAAUGGGCGCAAGCCUGAUGCAGCCAUGCCGCGUGUGUGAAGAAGGCCUUCGGGUUGUAAAGCACUUUCAGCGAGGAGGAAGGGUAGUGUGUUAAUAGCUCAUUGCAUUGACGUUACUCGCAGAAGAAGCACCGGCUAACUCCGUGCCAGCAGCCGCGGUAAUACGGAGGGUGCAAGCGUUAAUCGGAAUUACUGGGCGUAAAGCGCACGCAGGCGGUUUGUUAAGUCAGAUGUGAAAUCCCCGCGCUUAACGUGGGAACUGCAUUUGAAACUGGCAAGCUAGAGUCUUGUAGAGGGGGGUAGAAUUCCAGGUGUAGCGGUGAAAUGCGUAGAGAUCUGGAGGAAUACCGGUGGCGAAGGCGGCCCCCUGGACAAAGACUGACGCUCAGGUGCGAAAGCGUGGGGAGCAAACA
rnacentral:rRNA from 1 species